GGAGGGGGGGAUCUUAGGACCUCUCGCUACAGGGGCGGCCGAUGGCAGAUUAGCUAGUUGGUGGGGUAAAGGCCUACCAAGGCGACGAUCUGUAGCUGGUCUGAGAGGACGACCAGCCACACUGGGACUGAGACACGGCCCAGACUCCUACGGGAGGCAGCAGUGGGGAAUUUUGGACAAUGGGGGCAACCCUGAUCCAGCAAUGCCGCGUGUGUGAAGAAGGCCUUCGGGUUGUAAAGCACUUUUGUCCGGAAAGAAAACGUCGUGGUUAAUACCCGUGGCGGAUGACGGUACCGGAAGAAUAAGCACCGGCUAACUACGUGCCAGCAGCCGCGGUAAUACGUAGGGUGCAAGCGUUAAUCGGAAUUACUGGGCGUAAAGCGUGCGCAGGCGGUCCGCUAAGACAGAUGUGAAAUCCCCGGGCUUAACCUGGGAACUGCAUUUGUGACUGGCGGG
rnacentral:rRNA from 1 species